CAGUAGCCGCGGUAAUACGAAGGGGGCUAGCGUUGUUCGGAAUGACUGGGCGUAAAGCGCGCGCAGGCGGCUCGAUAAGUCUGCUGUGAAAGUCCAGGGCUCAACCCUGGAAUGCCGGUGGAAACUGUCGAGCUCGAGUCCGGAAGAGGCAAGUGGGAUUCCUGGUGUAGCGGUGAAAUGCGUAGAUAUCGGAAGGAACACCUGUGGCGAAAGCGGCUCACUGGACAAUAACUGACGCUGAUGCACGAAAGCUAGGGGAGCAAACAGGAUUAGAUACCCGCGUAGUCCCUGUCUCUUAUAC
rnacentral:rRNA from 1 species